CCCUUAGAUGUCCUGGGCCGCACGCGCGCUACACUGAUGCAUUCAACGAGUUUCACCUUGGCCGAGAGGCCUGGCAAUCUUUUAAACCUGCAUCGUGAUAGGGAUAGAUUAUUGCAAUUAUUAAUCUUGAACGAGGAAUUCCUAGUAAACGCAAAUCAUCAAUUUGCAUUGAUUACGUCCCUGCCCUUUGUACACACCGCCCGUCGCACCUACCGAUUGAAUGGUCCGGUGAAGCCUCGGGAUUGUGGCCAGUUCACUUUAUUGGGAGUUGGCUGUGAGAACUUGUCUAAACCUUAUCAUUUAGAGGAAGGUGAAGUCGUAACA
rnacentral:rRNA from 1 species